UAAGAUUCAUAAAUUUUUGACGUAAACUAGUUGUGGUGCAAGUUCAAUUCCUAAUAAAUACAUGUAAAAAAAAGUUUAUGUUUGUAAUGUUUUUCCGAAAUCUAUAUUUAUCGACAUAAUUCAUAACAAAAUUAUAUUUAUAAAUAUGGAAAGGGAUAGUAGUAAUGCAAAAACGACCGACUUGAAUGAGACAAAUCAGUUUGGGCACCCGGUGGCUCCAUUGUGGAUGUAGUCGGAAUCCGGAGGUGCAGAUCCUCUCGAACCCGAAUCAGUGAAAAAUCAGUUACUCUUCCGCACCCGAAAUGAGCCAAAAUUCACUGUAAGCAAAGCCAACCUAAAACUUCGCUACUUGCUUCGACUCUUUUCCUUCUUUCCUGCGUUUGAUUCAUUUAACCAUACACUCCGAUCGCAACUAAACUCUUCCAAUUCAAAUUCCACCAAAAAUCAACACAAUUCGAGCUUUUCCUGUCCUAAACUCAUUAGCAGAGAGCCCAAAGAGUGAUCGGAGUAGAAAGACAUCCGGUUUUGCGACAUGAUAACUCGGUCUAAACUCGUAGAGCAACUCAGAGAUUACCAGAUCCGAUCUCAAAACACCUACCCUGCUCUUAUCUUUUUCUCUCCCAAACCCCAUAUCGCUUCCCGGGCUGAUGUAGCUGUGGCUACUUUUUGGGCCUUCGCAUUUAGUGUGUUAGUCAUACUAUCCUACUUGUCCCUUUAUUUUAGGCACUACUGGCUUUCAUGUAUCCCAAUAUGCCUUGGUAUUUUCCUUCCCAUACGCUUGAGAGGUUGUAGGCAGACUGUGGUCAAGAAGAGAGAGAGAAAGUUUCUAUUACCCUUGUCCAUGUGAUCCGUUUUAAGCGCUGAAAGUAGUUUGAUUCAUCAUUUGAGCUGCCCGUGGAUGGCUUAUUACCUGUUUUAACAAAUGGGGCGAUUUCAGACAUUGACAAAAUUGAUCUUGGUCCGUAAGACUGUUGCCUACCUUCUUUUGAAGUAGAUGGUACAACUUAUUGUUCAUUUUUCUUCACAAAACCAUACUUGAAGCCCAUGGUCAUUUGCCAUACACUUUGAACCUGUAACAUUUGACAGUUCUGCAUACAACAAAAAGAACAAUAUGCCUAUAAAAUGAAAGCAAGAGAGAGAGGGAACAUUGAAGAAGAAAAGAAACCAUUUUCAGAUUGAAUUGGCAAGGGAGGUUGAAAGAAAAUUUGACAUUCUUUUAAGUGGUUGUAUGAAGCAAUAUGCUUCAGUUUUCUUGAGGGUUGACCUUGUUACCGAGUAUUAAUUAGUAUAAAUUCAUAACCUUGUUGAUUUUUCUUCUACUACACUCUCUUUUGAAUACACUGUUUUAGUUUAUGAA